UGAUGGUGUCAAUUGUCUUUCCUGGUGUGUUUAUAUAGGUUUAAUUUUACAGUUGAAUCGUGGACUCAUAAUGAAAUAUAAAUGCUAACUAUAUCAUCCUUGAAAUAAUCGAGGAUUUGAAUUUGUAAGUUAUUGAUGCAAGCAAACAUCUUGUUACCAAGUGGCCACUCUUUGUUAGGAUGGCCCAUGACUGUUUAGAACUUGGAAUGUUUACAGUCACUAGUGUUGUUUAGCUUGAUUGGAGAUUUGGAGAUUGGAGUACCAGCUGGUUAAUCAUGUAUGUAUUUUAGGUGGCAAGUUCAAAUUACACCCGUUGUGAUAGUUUCUACUGUCAUGCUGCAUAUAUUUGUAUGGGCUUUUAUUGCUGAAGUUGCAAAAUACUUUGCAAACAUUCAUCAUGCAUUUCAAAUCUUAUGUUGAUAGCCUGAUAGCUUAAUGCAAAAUACUCAAUAGUACAAGGGAUUGAUAUGAAUGUCCAAUCAAUUUGAAAUUUGGCAGGCAUGAUUUUUGUGGAAUAAACAUUUAAUGUAGUAAUCUGCUCUGCAAAAUCUGUCUUCUAUAGUGACUUAUGAAUUUGUGUGAGGGUGU
rnacentral:misc_RNA from 1 species